rnacentral:rRNA from 1 species
GACGAACGCUGGCGGCGUGCCUAACACAUGCAAGUCGAACGGAACUGUUUUGAAAGAUUUCUUCGGAAUGAAUUUGAUUUAGUUUAGUGGCGGACGGGUGAGUAACGCGUGAGUAACCUGCCUUCAAGAGGGGGAUAACAUUCUGAAAAGAAUGCUAAUACCGCAUGACAUAUCGGAAUCACAUGAUUCUGAUAUCAAAGAUUUUAUCGCUUGAAGAUGGACUCGCGUCCGAUUAGUUAGUUGGUGAGGUAACGGCUCACCAAGACCGCGAUCGGUAGCCGGACUGAGAGGUUGAACGGCCACAUUGGGACUGAGACACGGCCCAGACUCCUACGGGAGGCAGCAGUGGGGGAUAUUGCGCAAUGGGGGCAACCCUGACGCAGCAACGCCGCGUGAAGGAUGAAGGUUUUCGGAUUGUAAACUUCUUUUAUUAAGGACGAAAAAUGACGGUAC